GGCUCCGUUUUGGGGUGAAUUUAGAGGAUUUUGGGUUUAAACUCAGUUUUGAUGAAGCCUCACCUGAGCUGAGCUCACCUGAGAAGAUUUGGGUUCUAACAGAGCCUCACCUGGUUUGAGCUCACCUGAGAAGAUUUGGGACGGCGCCCCCUGCUGGACAGAGGCUCCUGAUUGGCUCCCGGCCGGAUCCGCUCGCUCCUGAUUGGCUCCCGCGUGGAUCCCGCGGCUCCUGAUUGGCUGCGGCUCUGGAGGGGG